rnacentral:lncRNA from 1 species
UCGUGCCUAUGUUUCAGACAUUAUGUUUAAUCGUUUAUCAUGUGCGUUGGGUGAUUGCUUAAGGACAAGCAACGGUCUAAGUAUGGGGGAAUUUGAUAACGAGAAAUCAUAUCGUAUUUUUAGGCUUAUUUCACAUGUCAUAUGUCUAUGUUUUUAUGCAUUUUAUCACCUUUUACUUUCUUCUUAUUUGUUUUGCAGUUGUUAGCCAAUUUCAUUGGAGUUUUGGAAGCUCCACAGAAAAGAAG